UACGAAAGGGGCUAGCGUUGCUCGGAAUUACUGGGCGUAAAGCGCACGUAGGCGGAUCUUUAAGUCAGGGGUGAAAUCCUGGAGCUCAACUCCAGAACUGCCUUUGAUACUGAGGACCUUGAGUUCGGGAGAGGUGAGUGGAACUGCGAGUGUAGAGGUGAAAUUCGUAGAUAUUCGCAAGAACACCAGUGGCGAAGGCGGCUCACUGGCCCGAUACUGACGCUGAGGUGCGAAAGCGUGGGGAGCAAAGCAGG
rnacentral:rRNA from 1 species